UGCAAGUCGAGCGAACUGAUUAGAAGCUUGCUUCUAUGACGUUAGCGGCGGACGGGUGAGUAACACGUGGGCAACCUGCCUGUAAGACUGGGAUAACUUCGGGAAACCGAAGCUAAUACCGGAUAGGAUCUUCUCCUUCAUGGGAGAUGAUUGAAAGAUGGUUUCGGCUAUCACUUACAGAUGGGCCCGCGGUGCAUUAGCUAGUUGGUGAGGUAACGGCUCACCAAGGCAACGAUGCAUAGCCGACCUGAGAGGGUGAUCGGCCACACUGGGACUGAGACACGGCCCAGACUCCUACGGGAGGCAGCAGUAGGGAAUCUUCCGCAAUGGACGAAAGUCUGACGGAGCAACGCCGCGUGAGUGAUGAAGGCUUUCGGGUCGUAAAACUCUGUUGUUAGGGAAGAACAAGUACAAGAGUAACUGCUUGUACCUUGACGGUACCUAACCAGAAAGCCACGGCUAACUACGUGCCAGCAGCCGCGGUAAUACG
rnacentral:rRNA from 1 species